UUUCCGGAUCUUGAACAAUGUUUUCGUUCAGAUUUAUCUUUACAUGAAAAAUGACAAAAUUUCAAUUACUUUUGAAACUGUGGCUAUUUUUCAAUUACCACUUGUAAAUCUAGCUAUUUUUGAAUUUCUCCCAUUAUUGUAGAGUCUGAUGGACUCUCAUGGGUUGCCUUGUAUAGGCGAUAUACUGGGCCUAAUUAUUUAUAGAAUAGUAGCCCGUUAACUUGUUAACACUUCAAUUGAUUUUUCACGUGAUAGCAAACUUGAUUAUUAAAAUCAGAAACAAUUAACAAGGCUCUAAACAUCAAUGCAUGAGUAUACAGAUCACACGACUAUUUUAUUAUAUCAACAACAACAACAACAACGACCCAGUAAAAUCUCACUAAUGGGGUCUGGGGAGGGUAGUGUGUACGCAGACCUUACUCCUACCCCGAAGGAGUAGAGAGGCUGUUUCCGAAAGACCCUCGGCUCAAAAAAACAAAAAGACAAAAGGACAAAAAGGAGACAAUAUUAAUAUCACAACAACAAUCAUAGGNNNNNNNNNNNNNNNNNNNNNNNNNGAACACCAUGAAAUCUAGAAGAAAGAUGCAAAGCAAAAGCGAUAGCUAGUAAAUAGGACAUGCACUGAAAAGCAAAAUAGUAAGACACAACAUUGCCACGGGCUAUCUUAGACAAAAACCCUACAUGACUAUUUUAUUAUAUCAAAGCUCUAAAAGGGAAACAUUACCCUAAUCAAUUAUUGUUGGGGAUUAGUUAUUCCAGUUGUUCUUAGCGUGAAAUUAUAGCAAUGUAUACGUGCUCGACCAAUUUUAUAGCAUGAACUAACCACCUAGUAGGAAAUUCAGAUUAAGACUAGAUGAUUACAAAUUUAAUGCCAUAACAACUGAAAUUAAAAAUACAGACCACACGUGUGUAUACAAACCAUAAGCUGUAACUCACUAGUUCUACAUUCUAACUUCAAUAUCAAGCUAUCAUAAGAUGAACUUCAGCAGCCUUAAGAUAAUCACAGGAUUCAAACAUCCAACUGAUGCAUACGACUUAAUUGAAGAUUAUACCUGCGUGGCAUGACUUUCAAUACAAACAAUCACAUGAGCUCAAACGAGUUUUAAUCAAUCUCACAGAUUCAUAAUCAUUGACAGAGUUUCAAUUUUCUCGCUUCUAAUCAAUAAACUAUCCAACUACUGAAAUUCUCAACUGAAUCACAUUUGCAGCAUUAAGUAUUGAUCAGAAAAGGAAUACAAGCAAGUAGAAAAGGAAUACAAGCAAGUUUCAGGAUUAGGCAAACUGAAUCCAGGAAAUUAGGUAUAAACGCAUCAUGAACAAAUCAAUGUGUCAUCCAUAGAUUCAGAGAAGAGAAUACAGAUGAAGAUUUACAUACCUAAAAGCAGAAAACAGUAGAGAAAUGACCAAAUAAAGGUCUGGACUCCAAAGAACCAAGCUCGGCUACAGUGAACAGCAGAAACAGCAAUUUCUUCAUACACAAACAACUUUCAAAAUCGAGAAAGUUUGCAACAAAAGGUAGAAAUUGGAAACAACUUUGAAUUUUUUUUGUGUUUUUUUUUGUGUUUUUUUUCUGUUUUUUCAGCUUUUGAAUUUCCAGAUCCAGGAUUUUAAUUCAAAAAUUCAGGAUGCUUCUAUAUGCUAAGAGGCGUGUGUGUGAGAGGAGUGUCUAUUGCGUGUGUCCAGAAUUCUGUGUGUGAGUCCUUUUUUAUAACUGAUUUUCAGAUUCUCUUUUUGUUAAUUCCUUUCUUUUCAGUCCUUUUUUAUUUUCUAUUUUACCCCCUCAAAUACUUGUUUAUUAUUCCCUCAGACCCCAAAUACCUGACCUGCUCACUCUUUUUCUUGCAAAUUAGUCCUUUCCCUAUCUCCUGGAACCUUCUAGGUUGUUAACAACAAAUAUUCCCUUAGUUUAAUUCCAAAAUCACCCUUUAGACUCUUGCUUAACACCUGACAGCACCAAAUAAAUGCCUGGGCUUCAAACUACAGGCCCAAGAUCAAAGCCCAAACCUUCAAACCCUUUAUAGACCUAAACUACUUACCCUAAUUAUGAAACGGAUUUCUGAACUAAACAAAUAAUUUAAACUACAUAUUUAGACAACCAUUAAACUGUUAAAAACGAAAUAAAAAACUCUUAAAUGACUAAUUCAUGCCCCAAAAACAGUGUCAAAACUCAAAAACUACCAAACUAACAAUCAAUUCAAAACUUAAUGACUAAGCAUAGAAAUAAUACACUACAACAUAAAAUGGGAAUUACUAAUCGAUUAUGCAACAACUAAGAACAUUUAAUGUUAAUCUGAAAAUGAAGACCUGACCUAAACGUGCAGCUGAAACAAAAGAAAACAAAAUUAGAGAAUACCUUCUUGAAGAAACUCGAAUCAAACAUUGGCGACUGAAUUCUGGCUGGUCAACGGUGUUUGACCGGACUCCGGCGACUUCGAAGUGAGCUAAAACUAACGUCAAUCGAUUACACUCGUCAAGAGAAAUCGAUCAACGUAAGUUUCAAGUCAAGACGAAUUGAAAAAGGCCUAGAAAUCGAAAAGGGGACAGAUUAGGCUUUAAUACCUUCCUAGAUCUACUAAUUGGGGAGUUUGGGUGGUUUUCUGGGGAAAUUGAAGGUAUGGGAGGCAUGCGGGAAGAAUGGUGAUUGUUUGGUGAUGUUUUGGUGGUGUUUGGAGGUGGCCCGCCGUUGUGGGCGAUUCCCGGCGGGCGGCGGAGGAUGAGAGAGGGUGAGAAGGGGUCUGAGAAGAGCGUUUGAGGGU
rnacentral:lncRNA from 1 species